rnacentral:rRNA from 1 species
UACGAAGGGGGCUAGCGUUGUUCGGAUUUACUGGGCGUAAAGCGCACGUAGGCGGAUCUUUAAGUCAGAGGUGAAAUCCCAAGGCUCAACCUUGGAACUGCCUUUGAUACUGGGGAUCUUGAGUCCGGGAGAGGUGAGUGGAACUGCGAGUGUAGAGGUGAAAUUCGUAGAUAUUCGCAAGAACACCAGUGGCGAAGGCGGCUCACUGGCCCGAUACUGACGCUGGAGGCACGAAAGCGUGGGGAGCAAAACAGG